GUCGUCAAAACUUAGGUAACGCGUUAGCGAGGAAUUAUAUAAAAGCCCGGGCGAUUGGACGAUAGAUACAGAGUAGCUUCGACAGGCUUCAACAACAUUACACAUCAUGCUUCGCAAACUAAUCAUUUUGUCCGUCGUUCUAGCGAUGGUGUGCGCUCAGGAUUGCGGACCAAACAAAGAAUGGAACUCGUGUGGAUCGGCGUGUCCACCCACAUGCGGCCUACCUGAUAUGCGCCCCUGUACUAUGCAAUGCGUGAUUGGAUGCCGAUGUAAAGCAGGCUUAAAAAUAAAGGGUAACGAGU